UACAGAGGGUGCAAGCGUUGUUCGGAAUUACUGGGCGUAAAGCGUGCGCAGGCGGCUUCUCAAGUCAGGGGUGAAAGCCCAGAGCUCAACUCUGGAAUUGCCUUUGAGACUGGGUGGCUUGAGUACGAGAGAGGUGAGUGGAAUUCCCAGUGUAGAGGUGAAAUUCGUAGAUAUUGGGAAGAACACCGGUGGCGAAGGCGGCCUGCUGGACAGCACCUGACACUGAGACGCGAAAGCGUGGGUAGCAAACAGG
rnacentral:rRNA from 1 species